CGGGACGGUCCGGACUUAGGGGCUGGGGCUGGGGCCGGGAAGGGCUUUACUCUUUGUGGGAUCCGUGACUUUGGGCGCGUGGGCUUAUCGCGGGCACCGCGCCCCAGCCCGUGACAGAGUUGGGAGUGCUCUUCCGCCUGCCCGCCUGCCAGGGGCUAUGGGGGCCUAGAGCUAGGGGACAGAGUUGCAGGGCCGGUCCGUGUCCCUGUGAGGCUCUCUCCCGAAUCCCUGCGGUCUUAGGGCCGCGGAGGCGCACUGACCCCCGAGGUCGCAGGCGUGGCUACGGACGUACCUCCUGGGAGGACCGCAGGGCUGCGGCCGCAGAACAGAGAUUUGGACCUAGUGAAAGGACGUCGCCCCUUAGACCCAGCUAUGGACUCCACAGCAUCAGUUCUCCCUUCUCAGGACCCUCCUCUUCCUCCAGAGAGAUACCCAGGAGAAAAGGGAACAACCAGUUUAUUCCUGAAAGCCAGGUCCCAGGUGAGUUGAGGUUCUCUUCGUUUUUUUCUCAAAUGACUGAACUACGGACGUCUUUGCCCUCUUUUCCCUGGAG
rnacentral:lncRNA from 1 species